GUCCCAGCCUUAAGAGUAUGUAGGCUUCUUCCCAGCCCUGGGUCCCCACAGUUCCGUGGGCCACGGAGGGGAUCCAGCGGCUUCAAGGAGAAUGAGAGAAACAGCUGAGGAAGGAAAAGCUUCGGUAGCAAGCAGGACAAAACGAAGAGCAAGCAAGGAGGGAUAAGGAGGUGGAAGAUGAUCCCAGGGCACUGGCUGACCACAGGUUUUAGGGUGCAUACAUGUUAUUAGACGCGUUCUCACGACCGGCCAGGAAGAACACCACAGACCAAAAUCUUCUGCGGCANNNNNNNNNNNNNNNNNNNNNNNNNNNNNNNNNNNNNNNNNNNNNAGAUACCCUUGGCACAUGCGCAGAUUAUUUGUUUACCACUUAGAACACAGCUGUCAGCGCCAUCUUGUAACGGCGAAUGUGGGCGCGGCUCCCAACACAUACAGAGCAAAGGUGCUUCACUUCUGAGCGCCAUCACACCUGUUCUCAUUUGUUCCCCUCCCUCGCUGAGCCCACCCCUCCACCAAGUCCCUUUCUUCUUCCACACAGUGUCCCCUCUACAAUCCAUCACCCUGCCACCCCCUUUCCUUGAGAGCUCUUUCCUCUUUUUUCCCUUUUCCCAGCCAGCAAACACACAUGUAUAAGUAGAGACAUAAGUGCACACAUAUAGAUAGGCAUACAUGUACACAUUUAUGAUAGGGAUAUGUGCAAACAUGUCGAUACACAUGCACACAUGUAGAGAAAAAUAUACAUGCACAUAUAUAGACAUAUACACACCCAUAUACAGAGAGGCAUACGUGCUCACAUAUAAAUAGACAUGCACAUAUAUUUAGAUAUAGAUAGAGACAUACAUGCAUACUUGCUUUGUAGAUCAGGCUGGCCUCAAGCUCACAAAGAUCUGCUUGCCUCUGCCUCCUAAAUGCUGGGAUUAAAGGGAUGUGCCACUACCGCCCAGCUUCACCAAGUCUUCUUUUCAGGAAUUCACUGAAACAUCUUAUGAAAACUCACACCAGUGUCUUCCUUCAGAGAACCCAGGCUCCAGCUGUGGCUACCACAUAAGGGUUUUUAAUACAAGAAAAAUAAAGUAAUUAAGUCUGAAAAAAUAGAUAGGUGCACUAAUGUCCCUUUAAUGAGAUAAGGUGAUUUGCCUCCCCAGAACCCCGGCCUCCUGGUAGUUUCUUACAAUGUGACCACAUCCACCUGUGUGAGUGCCCACGCUUUCUGAAUUACUCAGGGAAGUGUAACCUCUCUUCUUUCUGUCUCUUCUCUAGGCAUGCCUUCCUAAUACUUUGGGCUUCCUCACUGUAAGGGUUAGCUUUGUCAGCUUGACCCAAAUCAGGGUCAUCUGGUAAAGGGAACCUCAGCUGACCAAAUGGUUCCAUUAGCCUGGCCUGUGGCCAAGUCUGUGAGGCAUUUUCUUCAUUAGUGACGGAUGUGGGAGGGGAGGGCCCAGCCCACUGUGGGUGAUACAGGUGGGCCUGGGUGCUGUAAGGAAGCAGCCUGAGCAAGCUGUGAAGCAAGCCAGUGUCCCCUGUAGCUUCUGCUCCCAUUCCUGUCCCCGGGUUCCUGUCUAGAGCUCCUACUCGACUCCCCUUGGUGACCUGACAUCUGUAAGAUGAAAUAAACUCUAAGUUCUUUGCCUACAUUGCCUUUGGUUUGUGUUUCAUCACAGCAAUAGGAUGCUCCCCUCCCUGACAUGUGACUGCCCUUUGUGCCUUUUAACUCCAGCAGGAAGACCGGUGGUCCCCUUCUCCUCCCUGUUCUCCACCUUCCAGCAGCUGCAGAGGUUUGUAGCUCACCUGCCCUCUAAUAAAGUUGUCCUCCAGCUUCCGUCU
ensembl:lincRNA Gm4262 predicted gene 4262